GACAGAGGGUGCAAACGUUGUUCGGAAUUACUGGGCGUAAAGCGCGUGUAGGCGGCUUUGCAAGUCGGGCGUGAAAUCCCACGGCUCAACCGUGGAAGUGCACUCGAAACUGCAGAGCUAGAGUCCUGGAGAGGAAGGUGGAAUGCUUGGUGUAGAGGUGAAAUUCGUAGAUAUCAAGCGGAACACCGGUGGCGAAGGCGGCCUUCUGGACAGUGACUGACGCUGAGGAGCGAAAGCGUGGGGAGCAAACAGG
rnacentral:rRNA from 1 species